ACUAAUGAAAAUCCAUACUUUAUUCAGAUUUUCUUCAUUUUUAUCUAUUGUCUUUUUUCUUUUCCAGGAUACCAUAUUUCAUUUAGUUGUCAUUUCUCCUUAAACUUCUCUUGGUUGUGAUAGUUUCUUAGAUUGUCUUUGUUUUUGAUGACCUGGACCAUUUUGAAGGCUACUAGACAGAAAGGGUCACUACAGAUUUUCUUUAAGCGGCACACACACCUCAUGCCAGAAUGCUGAAAUACGGAUUAUCUGGGCAUGUUUUCACUGAGAAAGGCAGAGCAAAUGAUGGAGGAGAGAGAGUAAAACAUAAAGGAGGACAUAGUAAGAAGAUGUACAUCUGCAAACCAGGAAGGGAGCCCUCGCCUGACAACUAGAUCUGCCAGCACCUUGAUCUUGGAUUUUCUAGCCUUUAGAACUGCAAAAAAUAAAUGUUU
rnacentral:lncRNA from 10 species